rnacentral:rRNA from 1 species
CAGGCCUAACACAUGCAAGUCGAGCGGGCCCUUCGGGGUCAGCGGCGGACGGGUGAGUAACGCGUGGGAACGUGCCUUCUGGUCUGGAAUAACCCUGGGAAACUAGGGCUAAUACCGGAUACGCCCUUUUGGGGAAAGGUUUACUGCCGGAAGAUCGGCCCGCGUCUGAUUAGCUAGUUGGUGGGGUAACGGCCUACCAAGGCGAUGAUCAGUAGCUGGUCUGAGAGGAUGAUCAGCCACACUGGGACUGAGACACGGCCCAGACUCCUACGGGAGGCAGCAGUGGGGAAUAUUGGACAAUGGGCGCAAGCCUGAUCCAGCCAUGCCGCGUGAGUGAUGAAGGCCUUAGGGUUGUAAAGCUCUUUUAUCCGGGACGAUAAUGACGGUACCGGAGGAAUAAGCCCCGGCUAACUUCGUGCCAGCAGCCGCGGUAAU